rnacentral:snoRNA from 1 species
AAGUAUAUCAAACCUGAAAAAUUACUGUCUAUUCCUAAGGUUUCCACUACGGAUGCUAGGAAAAAGUGUCCUCAUAUUUUCUGUCUGCCUGAUUGUGGCAGUCAAGACUGAAUAGAGUAAUCAAAGA